UCUGGUGGUAAUAGCGAAGAGGUCACACCUGUUCCCAUGCCGAACACAGUAGUUAAGCUCUUCAGCGCCAAUGGUAGUUGGGUUCGCCCCUGCGAGAGUAGGACGCUGCCAGGC
rnacentral:rRNA from 1 species